AUUACCCAAGAAAUAUAGUUAAUGUAAUACCCUAGAUUUUCAUAUCAAUUUUCCUUGUAUUAUUCCCUUAUUUAAUGAAGGAUUAUUUAUGGAAAUUCUUUGGUUUUUGCGAAGUUGAAGUUUUGGGAGUUUAUUUAAGUGCUUUGACUUUUGAGAGGCCAAAAGUUGACUUUAUUUUUCGUAAGUUAUCUUCGAAAACUUCCUUCACGAAAGUUGUAGAGUUUGUUGAUACGAGUUCGUAGACAUGCGGCACGUCUGAAACGGAUGUCGUAUGAAGAAGUUAUAUUCAGAGGAAGUUUGUUUUCGGGUUUGAAAAGAGUAUAAGUAGAAAAAAUGUGUGUGUGAUUAAUUAGAACCCUAAAAUCAGUUUCCCUCCUCUCUCUCUCCUCCCACCCGAGUUCCCCGAGCCUUCACCUUCUUCAGCCGAGUUCUUCCUCCUCCGGCCACCAAACCGGACGCCACCGGCCCCAUUCGACUCCCACAGCAGCCCUCUUCAUUUCUGGUGCAGUCCCGCCGGUAGUCCCGCCGCUUGGAAGCCGCCACGAAGCGGCGGACCUGCUGCUGUCUCGCCGGAAAACCGGCGAUUUCGACGCCGUUUCCGGCCAAGUUUAGGUGAGUCUUGAUCCCCUCUUCCUCCUAGUAGUGUCUAGGCAUAGUUGAAGCAAGUUUUUGAGGUUUUGAGGCCGGUUUUGCAGGUUUUGUAGUGUGAUUUGCUGGUUACCUUUCGGGGCAGUUUCCGGCCUGUUCCGGCCAAAAUUGGUUGAAGCCUCAGGUAUGAAAGUUGCUCCCCUUGCUACAAGCUUCAACUUUGCUGUUAAGAGUUUUCUCUAAUUCGGAAGUCCAUGGAGGUGAGUGGGGUCCACUCGCCCCUGUGGUGGCGCGUGGCAGCGCGUCCGGUAGGAUUGUGGCUUAGGUUGCUAUGUUUUGGCUAGCUCUUGUUGUGGUGAGCUUAUUGAGAUGUUGAAUUGCUAGGUUGUGAGCUUUGUUCGUAUGAUAGGAUUUUAAGUUUGUUAUUAGGUUUGGUUGAGGGUUGAGUUAGGAUUUGAGGAUUAGAGGCAGCCAUUUUAGGUCUCUAAGUUCGACGACCUUGAAAAGUUGUCCUCCCUUGAACUAAGGGUUAGUUAAGGGGUAUUGUGAUAACCUAUAGUAUUUUAUUACUAAGGUUUUAUUUGUGUGAUUUUAGGUGAUUUGUGAUUUUGUGAUUGGCUUGCCUUCGUUGUGUU
rnacentral:lncRNA from 1 species